AGGAAUAUUGGUCAAUGGACGAGAGUCUGAACCAGCCAAGUAGCGUGAAGGAUGACUGCCCUAUGGGUUGUAAACUUCUUUUAUAUGGGAAUAAAGUGCAGUAUGUAUACUGUUUUGUAUGUACCAUACGAAUAAGGAUCGGCUAACUCCGUGCCAGCAGCCGCGGUAAUACGGAGGAUCCAAGCGUUAUCCGGAUUUAUUGGGUUUAAAGGGAGCGUAGGCGGAUUAUUAAGUCAGUUGUGAAAGUUUGCGGCUCAACCGUAAAAUUGCAGUUGAUACUGGUAGUCUUGAGUGCAGCAGAGGUAGGCGGAAUUCGUGGUGUAGCGGUGAAAUGCUUAGAUAUCACGAAGAACUCCGAUUGCGAAGGCAGCUUACUGGACUGUAACUGACGCUGAUGCUCGAAAGUGUGGGUAUCAAACAGGAUUAGAUACCCUGGUAGUCCACACAGUAAACGAUGAAUACUCGCUGUUUGCGAUAUACAGCAAGCGGCCAAGCGAAAGCAUUAAGUAUUCCACCUGGGGAGUACGCCGGCAACGGUGAAACUCAAAGGAAUUGACGGGGGCCCGCACAAGCGGAGGAACAUGUGGUUUAAUUCGAUGAUACGCGAGGAACCUUACCCGGGCUUAAAUUGCAACUGACGGAUUUGGAAACAGAUCUUCCUUCGGGCAGUUGUGAAGGUGCUGCAUGGUUGUCGUCAGCUCGUGCCGUGAGGUGUCGGCUUAAGUGCCAUAACGAGCGCAACCCUUAUCUUUAGUUACUAACAGGUCAUGCUGAGGACUCUAGAGAGACUGCCGUCGUAAGAUGUGAGGAAGGUGGGGAUGACGUCAAAUCAGCACGGCCCUUACGUCCGGGGCUACACACGUGUUACAAUGGGGGGUACAGAAGGCAGCUACACAGCGAUGUGAUGCUAAUCCCAAAAGCCUCUCUCAGUUCGGAUUGGAGUCUGCAACCCGACUCCAUGAAGCGGGAUUCGCUAGUAAUCGCGCAUCAGCCACGGCGCGGUGAAUACGUUCCCG
rnacentral:rRNA from 1 species